GCGCACGGCGCGGAGCUGCGGACACGUGGACGGGCCGCGACGCUGAAACACGCGUGGAUUGCAGCUGUGGAUCAGCCCCCGGCCCUGACCCUCACUGCUGGGCUCAGCGUGUUCCUAUGGCUGCAACUCAUCCCCUCCUUGGUUCCUCGUGGGGACAGUGGCUGUCCUCAGCUCCCCAGGGAGUGCAGCAGGCCAGAACUUCUGCUCCGCGUGAAUUUCAACACACACAAAGCCUUCAUCUUCCUGCACCUCUCUAUGAGCCCCUCACUGCAGCAUCGAGCCUGGAGGUGAUGUCCUGCAGACAUGGCCGAGGACAAUGCUAAAAGCCACCCAAUAUUUACGACAGGAGGAAGAGAUGGAGCUGCCUGCACCAGACCUGAAAUUGAUGCAAGCACAAAGAGUGUCCACAUCUGCCUGCUCCUCCUUAUCCCAUUUUGCUCUCAUUUCUGCUUCAGACCCACCAGCAGCGGAGCAAACCAAUCCCAUCCCUACCCGUGCCAGCAACCGCAGCCUGGGGAAGAUGAGAGUCCACCCCAAGAGUUCAAAGAUCCACGAUGCCACCUAAAAAUAACAGCAGCACACCUUGUUCCCAUUCAUUUAAGGCUAUUUUUAGGCUCCUCAGUUAGGUUUCAUUAAUACAGAAACCGUUUGCUAAAGUGGGGGGUCGCUUACAAGUUAACUCCGAGGAGGGCAGGCGGAUCCCUGGCUGCAUUGUCUGGCCCUUCCUGGGUAAUUAACUGCUACAAGUCAACACAUUUCCCUCGUUAGCAACGAUGAUGCCAAACGAGCCGCAGUAACCAGGGCUGAAGGCUCCCAGCCAGGCAGCCUCGUGCAAUGGGGCAUUGCAGUGCUCUCCUUUUCAAUCAGCACAGUGCGUUUUCUCCUGAGUGAUUAUGAGAUAAGGCCCUCAAUAUAAACACGGGUCUCUACUGCUCGGGAGCACCUCAGAGCCGGGUUUUGAAGCAGAAAGUGCAGAACGGGGCUGUUCAACCAAGCAAUGAGAUGUGACAACAAAUGCCAAAGCAGCACAACACCAGAACUGUGCUUUGUGCAAUGCUUUCCACGCUGCUCGGCCAACUACAGAGAGCAGGACUGGCUCUUUGCUCCGUCCAAGCAUUAAACCAAAGGGAGCAGCUGUUCCUGCUGGAGGAUUCACCUGCUGCAUUACCUGCUCUUUGCUUUCCUACCCCUCUAGAGAGCACAGCUGCCAGUUUACAGCAUUCAGGGGGCUCCAAUUCUUCAGGAUCUGUUUGAUCUCUGGGACUCCUGGAGGCAUUCAGGCAUUUUCUUCUUUACAAGUUCUUUACAAGUCCUGAUGUGCUGCUUUGCGCCCCGUGCCAUCAGGCGCUGUUUGUUCUCCUGCUCAGCGCAUAAGGAAACCGUCACCACUUCCAUUUUCCAAGCCAGCUCCAAAUUUUCAAGCCCAUCAAUCAUAGGACAGGCUGCCCUGUUUGCAGUCUCCUAGCACAGGGCUGUUAUUUUGGCUUAAACACUACGUGAACUCCUGAAGACUCGGGGCGUAGAAAGCCGGCGUGUGUAGGAGGAAAUGUGCCAAGCAGCUUUUUAUUUUUAAAAGCUGCUUAUCUAUAAAUAUAGUUGAAGAAAAUAAAUAUUUGGACAAACAUUA